AACGAACGCUGGCGGCAUGCCUAACACAUGCAAGUCGAACGAGACCUUCGGGUCUAGUGGCGCACGGGUGCGUAACGCGUGGGAAUCUGCCCUUGGGUGCGGAAUAACAGUUAGAAAUGACUGCUAAUACCGCAUAAUGACUCCGGUCCAAAGAUUUAUCGCCCAAGGAUGAGCCCGCGUCGGAUUAGCUAGUUGGUGAGGUAAAAGCUCACCAAGGCGACGAUCCGUAGCUGGUCUGAGAAGAUGAUCAGCCACACUGGGACUGAGACACGGCCCAGACUCCUACGGGAGGCAGCAGUGGGGAAUAUUGGACAAUGGGCGAAAGCCUGAUCCAGCAAUGCCGCGUGAGUGAUGAAGGCCUUAGGGUUGUAAAGCUCUUUUACCCGGGAUGAUAAUGACAGUACCGGGAGAAUAAGCCCCGGCUAACUCCGUGCCAACAGCCGCCGCCGUAA
rnacentral:rRNA from 1 species